rnacentral:rRNA from 1 species
UACGGGGGGGGGCAAGCGUUGUUCGGAAUUACUGGGCGUAAAGGGCUCGUAGGCGGCCAACUAAGUCAGACGUGAAAUCCCCUCAGCUUAACUGGGGAACUGCGUGUGAUACUGGAUGGCUUGGAUUUGGGAGAGGGAUGCGGAAUUCCAGGUGUAGCGGUGAAAUGCGUAGAUAUCUGGAGGAACACCGGUGGCGAAGGCGGCAUCCUGGACCAAUAUUGACGCUGAGGAGCGAAAGCUAGGGGAGCAAACGGGG